rnacentral:rRNA from 1 species
GGGUUGUAUACUUCUUUUAUACGGGAAUAAAGUGAGGCACGCGUGCCUUUUUGUAUGUACCGUAUGAAUAAGGAUCGGCUAACUCCGUGCCAGCAGCCGCGGUAAUACGGAGGAUCCGAGCGUUAUCCGGAUUUAUUGGGUUUAAAGGGAGCGUAGGCGGACGCUUAAGUCAGUUGUGAAAGUUUGCGGCUCAACCGUAAAAUUGCAGUUGAUACUGGGUGUCUUGAGUACAGUAGAGGCAGGCGGAAUUCGUGGUGUAGCGGUGAAAUGCUUAGAUAUCACGAAGAACUCCGAUUGCGAAGGCAGCUUGCUGGACUGUAACUGACGCUGAUGCUCGAAAGUGUGGGUAUCAAACAGGAUUAGAUACCCUGGUAGUCCACACAGUAAA